AUAUAAAUAGGCCAAGUUGUACGAUGUGUUUAUAGUUUAAAAACAAAUAUGGCGCUGAGGAGAGGAGUUUAUAUACUUUUAAUCGUUGCUUUGAGCAUUUUAUUUGAAGAAUAUAGAAAAGAAGUUCGUUUUCGCGGUCACAUCACCACAUGACCACCUUGCUAUUGGACCGAUUUGUAUGCAAGUGACAGGGAAUGCAAUGAAUUGCGAUCCGAACAUAUCCAAAGAUGUUGCGUUCAUCGGAUGGUAACCGCAUUUGCCGAAAGGCAGUUCAUUGAAGGAAUGGAAGUUGAGGUUGAGUGAUGUCCAGUGUCGCGGAGCGCGUGGUGGAGUGAAGGGCGGAUCAAAAAAGACAAAUGUGGUG